AUCCAGCUGAUGAAUCCAAAAUAAGACGAACGCGCUUCAAACUGGAU
rnacentral:hammerhead_ribozyme from 1 species